GAUGAACGCUGGCGGCGUGCCUAAUACAUGCAAGUCGAGCGAACAGACGAGGAGCUUGCUCCUCUGAUGUUAGCGGCGGACGGGUGAGUAACACGUGGAUAACCUACCUAUAAGACUGGGAUAACUUCGGGAAACCGGAGCUAAUACCGGAUAACAUGUUGAACCGCAUGGUUCAACAGUGAAAGACGGUCUUGCUGUCACUUAUAGAUGGAUCCGCGCCGCAUUAGCUAGUUGGUAAGGUAACGGCUUUCCAAGGCAACGAUGCGUAGCCGACCUGAGAGGGUGAUCGGCCACACUGGAACUGAGACACGGUCCAGACUCCUACGGGAGGCAGCAGUAGGGAAUCUUCCGCAAUGGGCGAAAGCCUGACGGAGCAACGCCGCGUGAGUGAAGAAGGUCUUCGGAUCGUAAAACUCUGUUAUUAGGGAAGAACAAAUGUGUAAGUAACUAUGCACGUCUUGACGGUACCUAAUCAGAAAGCCACGGCUAACUACGUGCCAGCCGCCGCGGUAAUAC
rnacentral:rRNA from 1 species